rnacentral:rRNA from 1 species
UGGGGAAUUUUGGACAAUGGGGGAAACCCUGAUCCAGCCAUGCCGCGUGCAGGAUGAAGGCCUUCGGGUUGUAAACUGCUUUUGUACGGAACGAAAAGACUCUUUCUAAUACAGAGGGUCCAUGACGGUACCGUAAGAAUAAGCACCGGCUAACUACGUGCCAGCAGCCGCGGUAAUACGUAGGGUGCAAGCGUUAAUCGGAAUUACUGGGCGUAAAGCGUGCGCAGGCGGUUAUAUAAGACAGAUGUGAAAUCCCCGGGCUCAACCUGGGAACUGCAUUAGUGACUGUAUAGCUGGAGUGCGGCAGAGGGGGAUGGAAUUCCGCGUGUAGCAGUGAAAUGCGUAGAUAUGCGGAGGAACACCGAUGGCGAAGGCAAUCCCCUGGGCCUGCACUGACGCUCAUGCACGAAAGCGUGGGGAGCAAACA